CCUACGGGUGGCAGCAGUGAGGAAUAUUGGUCAAUGGACGAGAGUCUGAACCAGCCAAGUAGCGUGAAGGAUGACUGCCCUAUGGGUUGUAAACUUCUUUUAUAUGGGAAUAAAAUGUUCCACGUGUGGGAUUUUGUAUGUACCAUAUGAAUAAGGAUCGGCUAACUCCGUGCCAGCAGCCGCGGUAAUACGGAGGAUCCGAGCGUUAUCCGGAUUGAUUGGGGUGAAAGGGGGCGUGGGGGGAUUGUUAAGUCAGUUGGGAAAGUUUGCGGCUCAACCGUAAAAUUGCAGUUGAAACUGGCAGUCUUGAGUACAGUAGAGGUGGGCGGAAUUCGUGGUGUAGCGGUGAAAUGCUUAGAUAUCACGAAGAACUCCGAUUGCGAAGGCAGCUCACUGGACUGCAACUGACACUGAGGCUCGAAAGUGUGGGUAUCAAACAGGAUUAGAUACCCUUGUAGUC
rnacentral:rRNA from 1 species